AUGACCCACAAAGCAGAGAAUAUGGAUUGUCUGGCCCUUUCCAGAAAAUACCUGCUGGCCCUGCUCUAAAGGCAGCUGCCCUCUCCUCCCCUCAUGGGUUCACCACCUACACAUUUGCUCUGGGCCAUGAAGACCAGUGUGUAUGGCGUUCUCAGGGGUUGGUGAGGCCUGGGCAUCCUUCCCGGUGACCAGAGAUAAAAUGGUAAGUGCAGUGUGCCGUUCCUCCCUCUGGCUGUUCCAGUGCGUGCUGUUCACCGGCUCCUGGAGCACCGCCACCACAGCAUCACCUGGCCCGCUACCAAGCUCCCCAUCACACAGCUGACCAGCUCCAUCGUGCGGCGCGUGAAUGAGGCUUCUGGGCUCUACCAGAUGUUCGGUGUGCUGGCCGAUGUCAUCCUGUUGAAGGAGAAUUCCACGGCCUUUGAGUACCUGGAGGAGUUCCCCAUACAGAUGCUGGCCCAGCUGGAGACACUCACAGGGAGGAAGGCAAAGCACGGGCUCUUCGUCAUCAACAUGGAAUAUGGCAGAAAUUUCUCUGGCCCCGACAAGGACGUCUUCUUUGAUGACCGGUCUGUAGGGCACACGGAAGACGCCUGGCAGUCUAACUUUCUCCAUCCCGUCAUCUACUACUACAGACAUCUCCCCACCGAACAGGAGGUGAGGUUCCGCCCUGCACACUGGCCCCUGCCUCGGCCCACGGCCAUCCAUCACAUCGUGGAAGACUUCUUAACAGACUGGACCGCCCCGAUCGGGCACAUCCUACCUCUGAGGCGCUUCCUAGAGAACUGUUUGGACACCGAUUUGCGAAGCUUCUAUGCAGAGUCCUGCUUCCUGUUCGCCCUCACGCGCCAGAAGCUGCCGCCCUUUUGCCAGCAGGGGUACCUGAGGAUGCAGGGACUCGUGAGUACCGAGAGCCUUCGGCAGCACAGAGUGGAGAGCAGGCUCCUGCGGGACUAUGCCCUCACAGGCAGGCGCCUGGAGGACAGCAGCCAGCAGCCUGGCGACCAAGAGCCACUAGGUUCCCCCCUGGUUCCAGGGCCUCUGGCUCAGUCCCUCGAUAGCAACAAAGAGGAGCUCUGACUGUCCCUUCCUAGGCUGUGGGCACAGUGGCCAGGCCUCCCCACCUAGGCCCGUGGUCAGUCCCUCUUUCCCCGCAACCUCACACUCCCGCCAAUGCGUGAUUGCCAAAGACCACUCAGAUCAUGGCAGUGACUGCAGCAAAGCCACCAGACGGCACGUGAGGGCUGAAAGUCGGGGAUGCGGUGGUCUCCUCCCUCCUGUCAGGGGGCAGAAGAAGGGCAUCCUCUGCCAGGUGGGAGCUGCCUUCCCCAGCCCAGCUUGUCUGCAAUGGAGCUGUCACUGAGCCCCAGGCCAGCCCAGUUCUGCCCCCUCUCAAGUGUUCCUUUUCCUUCCAAGCCCUUCCUCGGAUGGGCCUGCAUCAUGCCUGUGGAGCGCUUCACAGGGGAAACCCAUCCGCAUCUUAAGGGUUUGUGGCAAGCGCUUUAAAACAAAAGCUCUGAUAUCCUCAACAACCACAACGGGCAGGUGGGAUUGUUGCCCCAGAUGACUACUGAAGACACCGGCUGAGGGAUGUCAAGUAAUUCCAGGGACCCCCAGCUGGGAGUCCCCGUCUGUGUCACUUGCCACACACUGCCUCAACCUCCCCGCCCCAUUUUCAGCAGGGUUUGGACUUAACUACGGAGCCCAAGAGGGUCAGCCCUGCUUAUCAUCAUAGGCCCAGCAGACUGAUCUCGAGCAGCGAUAGGACAGCUCCCUGCAAAGCCAUCUUAUCUCAGCAACUUUCUCCCUGAGCAGCAGGAUUCAGAGCUGCUCUCCCCAGUUGCACCCCCUGACUCAUCUUCCAGCUGGCUCUUCUCUCCCAUCCUACUCCCUUCUGUCUCCCUGCCCUCUGCCAUCCUGAACCAUGCCUUGCUUCUAACCUGCCUGGUCAAGUUUUGUGAAACUUAUCCUGCUGUCUCUGGGGCGGGCACCCAUAUGUGCUCACCAUGUGUAAGGUGACAUUUCCUAAUGCCUUUGUGUGAUAAUGAUGAUGAAUUUGGUUCCUAGUCUCUUCUUCGUUGUCCUUCCUCACCAGCAGUCUGCACUCUCCCAUCAGGCGUCUUAGUCUCAUUUAUAAGUGUAUAAGAUAAUCACAGUGAUUUUUCAAAGCCCAGGAUCAUAGGGGAUUGCUUUUUCACUGGUUCUUACUAACUCUUCAUGUAUCCACUCAGAAUUCCAAGGACAAUCCCAGCACUCUGGGAGGCCCAGGCAGGUGGAUCACCUGAGGUCAGAGGUUUGAGACCAGUCUGACCAACAUGAAGAAACCCCAUCUCUACUAAAAAUACAAAAUUAGCCAGGCAUGGUAGCACAUGUCUAUAAUCCCAGCUACUGGAGAGGCUGAGGCAGGAGAAUCACUUAAACCCGGGAAGCAGAGGUUGCGGUGAGCCGAGAUUGCGCCAUUGCACUCCAGCCUGGGUAACAAGAGGGAAACUCCAUCUC
rnacentral:sRNA from 1 species